ensembl:lncRNA novel transcript
GGAGUGUACAGGGGACCAAGCCUACCCCGGGGAUGGAAAAAUCCGGCUGAGACGGCCUGGGCCGCUGCCACGCGCGGGCGUUAUUCUCCACCCACCUGCGGCCUGAAGAUGCCUGAGGCCCGGACUCUCAGACCCCUAUUGCCCUUUGGUGCUGGAGGCCCAGCGGCAGCCUGAAGCCCAAGAGAGUGGAGCCUCGCGAAAUGAGGAACCUGGCACAAGAGACAGGAUUUUUCCAUGUUGCCCAGGCUGAUCUCGAACUCCUGGACUCAAGUGAUUGGCCCCGCCUUGGUCUCCCAAAGUGCUGGGAUUAAAGGCACCAGCCUAAGAUUAUUGUGUAUCGUCAUCAUCCAAUCUCCUUACAGAAGCAUGUAGUAUAUGGAGAAGACAGUUGACCCAUGGAGAACUAUUCUUAGCUCCUCUGCCAGUGACACUAGUCAACUCAUGGGAGAACUUACCAAUUUGGCCUCUCUGAGAAUAAAGAGGAAGAUAAAUUAAUAAGGUGUUCUGGACUUGGAAGAUUUGUUGAAUUACUAUGAAGUCACAUCUAAAGUUUGAAAGAGAUCGGGUCUCACUAUUUUGCCCACGCUGGUCUUGAACUCCUGUCCUCAAGCAGGAUAUCCUCCUGCCUUGGCCUCCCAAAGUUCUGGGAUUACAGUCUCGCUCUGUCGCCAGGCUGGAGUGCACGCUGGAGCGCGAUCUUGUCUUACUACAACCUCUGCCUCCCAGAUUCAAGCGAUUUUCCUGCCUCAGCCUCCCGAGUAGCUGGGACUACAGGGACGCACCACCAUGCCCAGCUAAUUUUUGUAUUUUUAGUAGAGAUGUGGUUUCACCAUGUUGGCCAGGAUGGUCUUGAUCUCUUGACCUCGUGAUCCACCCGCCUCGGCUUCCCAAAGUGCUGGGAUUAUAGGCAUAAGCCACCACGCCUGGCCUGAAAUUAUUUUUCUAUACAGUUCUUAGAGGAAGUGUUUGGGUCACCUACAUAGGCAUGUAGUUCUUGACACUGGUUACUAGAGGAUUUAUAGAGGAUGUUCAUAUAUUCAACAAGCAUUUGUUGAAUACCUAUUAGGUGCUAGCCAUGGAAAUAUGGGAUUGAAAAAAACAGACAAAAAUCCCUAAUCUCUCUUACAAUCUAGUGAGGACAAUCAGACAGUACACAAAAUAAGCAUAAUAUAUAGUAAUCAUGUGGUAGUAAGUUCUAUAGAGCAAAAACAAGUUUAAAGAAGGAGGUUGGGGGGAGUGUUGAGAUGCAUAAGGUUUGCAGUUAUAAAUGUGGUGGUUAGGGAAUCAUUUGCUGAAAAAUGAACAUUGAGCAAAAACCUGAAGGAUGUUAAAGGAAUAAGAUACAUGUAAUCCAGAUGAAAGUUUUUUGGAUAAAGGAAAGAGCAAUUGCUAAAUCCCUGAGGUGGGAGUGGGCUGUUCAUAAGACAGCAAAGCAGCCAGGGUAGCUGAGUGAUUGACAGCGGAAGAUGGAAAAUGGGGAAUAGUUGGUGUAGGACCUAGUUGUGAGGAUAUUGACUUUGUUUUUUUUCCAAGACAGAGCUGUGCUCUGUCGCCCAGGCUAGAGUGCAGUGGCAUGAUCUUGGCUCACUGCAAUCUCCGCCUCCCGGGUUCAAGCAAUGCUCCUGCCUUAGCCUCCCCAGUAGCUGGGAUUACAGGCACCUGCCACCAUGUCCAAUUAAUUUUUGUAUUUUUAGUAGAGAUGGGGUUUCGCCAUGUUAGCCAGGCUGGUCUUGGACUCCUGACCUCAAGUGAUCUGCCCGCCUCAGCCUCCCAAAGUGCUGGGAUUACAGGCGUGAGCCACCAUGCCCACCCUAGGAUAUUUACUUUUAUUUUGAAUAAGGAUGCCACUGGAGGCCAGACGUGGUGGCUAACGCCUAUAAUCCCAGCACUUUGGGAGGACGAGGCGGGUGGAUCACGAGGUUAGGAGAUUGAGACCAUCCUGGCCAACAUGGUGGAACCCCGUCUCUACUAAAAAAAAAAAAAAAAUUAGCCAGGUGUGGUUGCAUGCGCCUGUAGUCCCAGCAACUCAGGAGGCUGAGGAAGGAGAAUCACUUGAACCCGGGAGGUGGAGGUUGCAGUGAGCCGAGAUCGCCCCACUGUACUCCAGCCUGGGUGACAGAGCAAGACUCUGUCUCAAAAAAAAAAAAAAAAAAAAAUGCCACUGGAGAGCUUUGAGGAGAGGAUCAGUCUGGCUACUGGGUUGGGAAUUAAUCAUAGCAGGCAAAGGCAAAAGAAGUGAGGUUAGUUAGGAGGCUUUACAACAACCCAGAUGAGAGAUGGGAGGUUUUAGCCAGGGAGAUGGAGAUGUUGAGAGAGUAGCUGGACUCAGGAUUGUGACAGUGGACUGAAGGAAAAGCAGGUUUUGGGGGAAGAUUGCAUUUCUCCCUUCAACUUCAGUUACGUAGAUCACCCAUAUGCCACACAACUGCAACUCUGUAACAGCCAAUUUUUAGCUUCUUCCUUAUCUAAGCCAUCCUGUAGGCCAUAGGAAUUAAAACUAGGUUGGAUCAAGGAAAAGUGAAUGCUAGAUCCAUACAAAACUAUUUGGAUAUUUGCCUUUGUAUUUUAUUGUUUUGAAAUUAUUUUUAAUGGUUCAAUAAACUCUUACUAGAACUACAAGCAAUAUAAUUAUUUCCUCUGCUUUAUUAGAAAUGUUUUUGUAAUCAUGUUAAUUAUAUUACUUUUAACUAUAUAAGGCUUGUGUCUCUUUUUUAUAAAUUGAUGUUUAUAUCCUCUGUAAGAUAAAUAUAAAGGCUUUUUGUUCAUAUGAGGAUGUGCUGUAAGAUUGCAGGGAGUAUAAAAAUUGGCAAUGGAGUAGGUGACUUGUAUUAUUAGUCUGAUCUUAAUGUUGUAACAUACUGAUCAUGCAAAAUAUAUAAUUAGUUUGUUUUUGCUAUUUAAUAUGUGUAGGACUGUAACAAACAGACUAGAGAAGAUGGCC